rnacentral:rRNA from 1 species
CAGCAGCCGCGGUAAACGGAGGGUGCAAGCGUUAAUCGGAAUUACUGGGCGUAAAGCGCACGCAGGCGGUUUGUUAAGUCAGAUGUGAAAUCCCCGAGCUUAACUUGGGAACUGCAUUUGAAACUGGCAAGCUAGAGUCUUGUAGAGGGGGGUAGAAUUCCAGGUGUAGCGGUGAAAUGCGUAGAGAUCUGGAGGAAUACCGGUGGCGAAGGCGGCCCCCUGGACAAAGACUGACGCUCAGGUGCGGAAGCGUGGGGAGCAAACAGGAUUAGAUACCCCAGUAGUCCCUGUCUCUUAUACA